rnacentral:rRNA from 1 species
GUGCCAGCCGCCGCGGUAAUACGGAGGAUGCAAGCGUUAUCCGGAAUUAUUGGGCGUAAAGCGUCCGCAGGUGGUUUUGAAAGUUUGCUGUCAAAGCGCGAGGCUCAACUUCGUACCGGCGGUGAAAACUUCAAGACUAGAGUUUGGUAGGGGUCACGGGAAUUCCCAGUGUAGCGGUGAAAUGCGUAGAUAUUGGGAAGAACACCAGCGGCGAAAGCGCGUGACUGGGCCUGAACUGACACUCAUGGACGAAAGCUAGGGGAGCGAAAGGGAUUAGAUACCCCUGUAGUCCUAGCCGUAAACGAUGACAACUAGGUGUUGCCCGUAUCGACCCGGGCAGUGCCGUAGCCAACGCGUUAAGUUGUCCGCCUGGGGAGUACGCACGCAAGUGUGAAACUCAAAGGAAUUGACGGGGGCCCGCACAAGCGGUGGAGUAUGUGGUUUAAUUCGAUGCAACGCGAAGAACCUUACCAAGGCUUGACAUGUGCAGAAUCCUCUUGAAAGGGAGGAGUGCCUUCGGGAGCUGCAACACAGGUGGUGCAUGGCUGUCGUCAGCUCGUGUCGUGAGAUGUUGGGUUAAGUCCCGCAACGAGCGCAACCCUCGUUUCUAGUUGCCAUCAUUAAGUUGGGCACUUUAGAGAGACUGCCGGUGACAAACCGGAGGAAGGUGGGGAUGACGUCAAGUCAGCAUGCCCCUUACGCCUUGGGCUACACACGUACUACAAUGCUACGGACAAAGAGUCGCAAGUUCGCGAGGACAAGCAAAUCUCAUAAACCGUGGCUCAGUUCAGAUUGCAGGCUGCAACUCGCCUGCAUGAAGGCGGAAUCGCUAGUAAUCGCAGGUCAGCAUACUGCGGUGAAUACGUUCCCGGGCCUUGUACACACCGCCCGUCACACCAUGGGAGUUGGCCACGCCCGAAGUCGUUACUCCAACCGUUCGCGGAGGAGGAUGCCGAAGGCAGGGCUGAUGACUGGGGUGAAGUCGUAACAAGGUAACC